AGAUUUCCCAUAGCGUAAGCUAGUAAGAUCCCUUGAAGAACACAAGGUUGAUAGGUCGGGGGUGUAAGCAUGGUAACAUGUUCAGCUGACCGAUACUAAUAGAUCGAGGGCUUGACCAA
rnacentral:rRNA from 1 species